GAGAAUAAAACGCGCUGAGACCUGCGUUUCGUCCAUUUUGGAGCAGCUUCUUCUAUGCUGUCGUCCACGAGGAGCAUGACUCGCAUGGGCUCAUGGGAAGUUUCUGUGCCAUCUGCUGGGAUGAGUAGACGGAGAGCUGUUAAAUUCAAGGCCUCCUUCACAUGAACUUUGAGAGCAUGAUGACCAUGGGUUGUGUUGUGUCUGCACAAUGAGCUCUCACCAAAGACCUGGAACUCCCAAGGCCUGCUAUUUGUCCAAGACUGUGGCUAAAGUCCUUUUGGAGGUGUUGGUUUCACCCUGUAGUACUCUGAACAGGUGGCACACCUGAUGUGGUGAAUUCACAGGAGUGCAGUGGAUUGUUAAAGUUCUGCUCCCUUGAACAUACUGAAGCUGGUAGAUCCAUGACUGACUUUAAGGUCACUUAAAUUGCAUCGGAGAAGUUGAACUGGCUGAAACCUGGUGUUCAUUUAUGUACCUUUUCUAAUCUUGGGG